UGAAUGGUAGGAGGUACAGAGUAAGAAAAGAGCGCGUAAAACAUUGUUCUCCUUCCUUCUCUCCCGUUUUGUAGAUCUGAAAAUAAUAAUUCGUCGGGUUUCACAAGAGUUGAGAUUACAAUCGGCGUCUAUCGGCGAAAAUUGGUGCUUCGUGAGGGCCUCAAUACGAGUUGCCACCGCCGUUGUAAACGAAUUCCGAUCUGGGAAUGUCGAUGGUGUUGAAUUCUUCACUGAGGAUCAAUUUCGCUUCUAUGAAUUUGGGUGUUACCAAUUCUCUUCCGAUUCAAAUUGAAUUAUAUGUGCAUAGAUUCAAAUUGACUCCAAAAUACGAACGCAUUUGGAAGCCCCAGUUCAAUUGCUAUCGAUUCAGUGCUUGGUGAUAGCUUGACUAGCAAUCAUGGUUGAUGGUAGUGGAGAGAACUCUUUGUCGACUGAAGAAUGGCUCUCGUGCGCUCAAGAGCUUGUCCUGAGGGCAUUGGGUAACGGAGGGAAGUGAAGUGGGGGAGGUCGAAGGUGAUCGUUUCGAAACUGGAGCAGGUGCCGUCACGGCUUCUGAUCUAUCCAGGCAUCUUUGCUUUUAGAGGAAUGCUCUGUGCAAGAAGCAGCUGCAGGUCAUGUCAAAGACGUUGAAAGACGUGAUUCAAUUGACACAUUUGUGUGUGGGAGAGAAAUACGAGGGGAAGCUUCGGAUGCAGAGUGAUCAUGAUGCGAUUACUGGGAACUUAAAUCUUCGUGAUUGUGGGCAGUUGAUCAAGACAGUGGUGCUAGGGGAGGUGUCGUUCCCGUCUGCUGCAACGAGUAGCUGUGCAGAGCCGGAGGCUGCAGUCCAUGGCAACUUGAAGGAGUUCUACACCUGCCUCCAGAUGGGCCAUUUGGAGGCGAAGCACAAGGUGCUCGACGACCUAGUGGAGGUGAUGAAGGAGGACGAAAAGAAUGUGUUGGCCGUGAUUGUAAGGAGCAAUAUUGGAGCAUUGAUCCAUUUGCUCACUGCCACUUCGCCUCGGAUCAGGGAGGUAGAGAGAAACGAUGGCGCGAAAGAGAAGGCUUUAGCCGCCAAUUUUUUCGGAUGAAGUAUGAACAAGGGCAGAUCUGAAUUCAGGGUCAUUGUCAUUGUUCAGAAUGUCAGUAGUAUUAAGAAUAUUAGUAUCCCACCUCGGUGGUGUGACAUAGUCUAGCUUAGUAUCUUGUACUAUAUAUAUGUGGCCUAUAUUGAGUAAUGAAAUACACCUACACCUACUACUCUUUUCUACUAUGUCUAUAUACUCUAUU